CCACCGAUUGCAGCGACCGGCGCCGGCUGACGGCUGGUACAAGGUUCUCCAGACAUGAUAGGCACAUCCGAACAAUCAGAUAACAUGAUUACAUUACAAGGCCAAGAUGCAUUAGCAUGCUCCACUGGUC